rnacentral:rRNA from 1 species
UACGUAGGGGGCAAGCGUUGUUCGGAAUUACUGGGCGUAAAGGGCGCGUAGGCGGUUUGCUAAGUUGGAUGUGAAGACUCUGGGCUUAACCCAGAGCCUGCAUCCAAAACUGGCAAACUUGAGUACUGGAGGGGAAAGCGGAAUUCCUGGUGUAGCGGUGAAAUGCGUAGAUAUCAGGAGGAACACCGGUGGCGAAGGCGGGAUCCUGGGCCAGUACUGACGCUGAGGAGCGAAAGCGUGGGGAGCAAACAGG